rnacentral:rRNA from 1 species
AUGAAUCGGUUGGAGGGAUCAGAUCAAUGGGAGACACACGUGAAGCAACUGGGAGUAUGCAUUGAGAUAGGGAUGGAAUGCUUGGACCCGGACCCAAUCAAGAGACAUGUUGCCCGCCAUAUAAAUGAUAGGCUUGAUGAAACAGCCGGCGGUUCUGCAGGACUAGGUACUGCAGCUUGCUCUCAAUUGCAAAUGGACAGGAAAAUCAAUUUCAGACACAAAGUCGACCUGCUGGAGCACGUGCUCCUUGAUGAAAAUGCAGAGCCAACAUAUGUAUCGUUAUCACUUUUAGAAGAUAUCACAAACUGUUUCUCCGAUGAUCAGGAAACUGGGGGUGGUGGGUUUGCAGUGGUUUAUAAGGGAAGAGUGGGGAAAGGGCUGGUCGCUGUGAAGAAGUUGUCCAGAACGUUUGAUUUGCCUGAGCGUAAAUUCCAAGAAGAGGUUAAGUGUCUCAUGAAGGUCAAGCACAAAAAUAUUGUGCGUUUCCUGGGAUAUUGUUCUGAAACGUGUGGGAGGCCUGCGGACAAUGAGGGGAAGUUUGUCAUGGCAGAUGUACGGAACUGGUUACUAUGUUUUGAGUAUGUACCGAACGGAAGUCUUGAUAAGUAUAUUACAGAUGCAUCUUGCGGACUUGAAUGGAGGUGA